UACGUAGGGUGCAAGCGUUAAUCGGAAUUACUGGGCGUAAAGCGUGCGCAGGCGGUUUUGUAAGUUUGUCGUGAAAUCCCCGGGCUCAACCUGGGAAUGGCGAUGAAGACUGCAAGGCUAGAAUCUGGCAGAGGGGGGUAGAAUUCCACGUGUAGCAGUGAAAUGCGUAGAGAUGUGGAGGAACACCGAUGGCGAAGGGCAGCCCCCUGGGUCAAGAUUGAC
rnacentral:rRNA from 1 species